rnacentral:rRNA from 1 species
AUUUCUAUCACAAUAAGAUGGACUUUACCGAGGAUCAGAAUGGAUCAGUUAUUAAAUCUUGGAUGGAAAUUUCUUUUACCUAUUUCCCUGGGUUUUACUGUGAUUCAAACAGGAUCUGAAGGGAUUAGGCAUUACAAAAAAUAA